GGCUACAAAAAAAAUAUAUAUAUGACAGAGAUCGUUUUUAUCUGGCCCUCCAACUUGUUUUUGAGGUUUAAAUAUUCUCGCAAUCUGAUAUUAAAGUGAUCUCUGUGCCAAAGCUUAGCGCGUUCAUCAGUGGUGAGUUUAACAACACUCAACUGCAGGUAAAACAGCAUUCAUCGGUGAGUUUGACCAAAGCAACACUCAACUGCAGGGAAAACGGCAUAAAAAGGUGAGUUUAACAACGCUCCAAGGCGCGUGCAAGUAAGCAGUUUAACCGUUUUCUUACACACCAUUCUCGCUUAUCGCUUAUUCAUAGUUCAUCAUCUCUAUGAAAUCACGUUCAAGAAGUCUCAUUCAGCACACAUCGCGAUACUUGCCAUCAGUUUCCAUGUGCCACAGGGUCGAUGUAAAGGAAGCAGUCAUCCCUGUGGUGUUUGUGGAGAGGUUUUCCUUCAGAAAUGGAGAAGACUGAAAGCUGCGGAGGCAGACAUUUGCAGCAGAUUGUUCGCAGAUAAUGAUGUUCUUCUCGAUCAUGCACAAGGACUCACCUCUUUAACUCUUUAUCUUCCCAACACACACAGAAAUGCUCCCUUGAUUAGUGUUUAGACUUUGCAGUGCAGUUUUGUUUUAGUUCUAAGCUUAUAAUGAAUACAUUGUGACCUUCCAGCAACCCAUAUAUUGUAUA
rnacentral:lncRNA from 1 species